rnacentral:rRNA from 1 species
AUGCUCACUAUCGCCGACCGCCGUGUUCAGGUCCGGUGUGUGCUCACUGCCCUACCAACCUUUGCCCUGACUGCCCUCAAGUUUCCAAGGAAGCUGCCGAAGGAAAUCGACAAAAGCAGGCGCCAUUUCCUCUGGGGGAGGGAUCAAGAACUCUUCGGGGGAAACUGUAAGGUGAACUGGCAUCGGGUUUGCUCCCCGAUCGAGCUGGGAGGGCUCGGAGUUCUGAGCCUGCAAAAAUUCACUCGAGCGCUCCGCCUGCGUGGGCUAUGGCAAUCCUGGCAGCAACCACCCUGACCAUGGGUGGGAUCGGAGAUGCCCUAUGAUGAUUUGGAUCAUGCCCUCUUCAAAGCUGCCACGACGGUGACCAUCGGCAAUGGACAAAUGGCAAGGUUCUGGCACACUAACUGGCUGGGCUCAGCGCCCCAGAAGCUUAGCUUUCCAACCAUGUUUGCACACUCACGUAGAAAGAACAGAACCAUGGCCCAAGCCAUUACCUCUGGCCAAUGGAUAGCGAACCUCGCGCACGGCGAGACCAGUGCCCUACUCAACGAUGCAGUUUCCCUGCAUCGACAGAUUUAA